rnacentral:lncRNA from 10 species
CGUGCCCCGGCCCGCCCACUGUUUUCCUUGGUGCGUUUCUCUUUAAAUGCAAAUAAGUGCAGGCGUGGUGUUGGCAGGGGGCGGAGAGGGUGCGGAACCACUGGCUGGGGCUCCCCACUCCCGCCCCCACGCCGGGCUGGUAGUGGCGUGGCUACACCGUGGCCUCAAGGAGCCAGUCCUGCCCGGAUGGGGCUCGCCGGAUCGGUUUCGGUUUUCACGCACUCCCAUUUCUGUGGCCGCUGUGCAUUCGCGGAGUGUUCUCUGCUGCUUCUGGGUCCUGACAGUCUUGAAAAGAUCCAGCUGCUGAACUGUAGCCAUGUUGCUCACAGCUUGAGGUGCAGCAGUCUGAACCACCCGGCGGCUGAGAAGAGGAACCAAAUGAGGAACUAUUCCAGAGUCUACUACCAUCUGUAUUUGUUCAUUGCCAGCACCAGUAAGGAAGGGAGGAAGAGAGGAAAUCAGGUGUACUUCAGAGGUCUCUGAAUCCAUCUACUGUCCUGAUUUGCCACAAUUAUUGGUAACAAGUUAGAUGCACUGCAAUAAUAAAUAAAAGAAGUGACACCUGGCUCUAGAAUACCAACCAGUGUAAUGAUAUUCAUCAGUCACAUCCAUGUCCCAAGCAAGUCCUGCCCCUUGUGUCAUUGCCCCCAACAGCAGAGAGCAUUCAUCAUGAAAACAACUGCUGUGCCCUGUAUGUAUUAAAAACGGCAGGCUUUUAUGACAAGCCUCUCUAAUUUAGGUCUCUUCUUUAAAGUAAUAAGCGAGAAAAUAUGUAACAGGAGGAAGGAAGGGGAAUGGUGGAAUACUUUUGUGUCAAGAUGUACAAGGUCAUUGAAGGUUAAGUGUUAAAAAUACAAUCCAGACUAGCCUUGAACUUAUGCCUCUCCACACCCUACUUCUCCAUGUGCCUCCAACUAAAGCAAAUUUCAGACUUGGAAAGGAAUCCUGCAUCUUGCAGUCCCCACAUCUAUCAUUUUUAAAUGCUGAAAGCACUCAAGAGUUAGAAGGAACCUUCCAGAUUGAUACCAGCAUUUCUUAAGGCAUGUUCUAUGAAUCCUAGUUCCACAGAUGUUAAUAGGCAUGUACACACAUGCACACACACAGUUCUGUGGUCAGCAUAGGGGAACACUGGGUGAAACAAACAUAAGCAGGUUUAUUGCAGGGCUUCUCGGAGCCUUUAAUAGGUGAACGUUCACUAUGAAUCUCCACAGUGUUUGUGGUGUUAAUAUAUUUUACCUUAGAAUCAUUUUUUUAAAACAAAUUAUCUUGUGGGACUAGUGUUCAUCAGGAACAUAGUUUAGGAAAUGCUAGUAUAUCCACUCAGCUCAUUUUAUUGAAGCACUAUAGUACAUGGGUAAAGAGCACAAACUUGGGUCACAGACUGUUUGGCUUCGUAUUUC